rnacentral:rRNA from 1 species
AUUGAACGCUGGCGGCAGGCCUAACACAUGCAAGUCGAGCGGAUGAAGGGAGCUUGCUCCUGGAUUCAGCGGCGGACGGGUGAGUAAUGCCUAGGAAUCUGCCUGGUAGUGGGGGAUAACGUCCGGAAACGGGCGCUAAUACCGCAUACGUCCUGAGGGAGAAAGUGGGGGAUCUUCGGACCUCACGCUAUCAGAUGAGCCUAGGUCGGAUUAGCUAAUUGGUGGGGUAAAGGCCUACCAAGGCGACGAUCCGUAACUGGUCUGAGAGGAUGAUCAGUCACACUGGAACUGAGACACGGUCCAGACUCCUACGGGAGGCAGCAGUGGGGAAUAUUGGACAAUGGGCGAAAGCCUGAUCCAGCCAUGCCGCGUGUGUGGAGAAGGUCUUCGGAUUGUAAAGCACUUUAAGUUGGGAGGAAGGGCAGUAAGUUAAUACCUUGCUGUUUUGACGUUACCAACAGAAUAAGCACCGGCUAACUUCGUG